AUUGAACGCUGGCGGCAUGCUUUACACAUGCAAGUCGAACGGCAGCGCGGGCUUCGGCCUGGCGGCGAGUGGCGAACGGGUGAGUAAUACAUCGGAACGUGCCCAGUAGUGGGGGAUAGCUCGGCGAAAGCCGGAUUAAUACCGCAUACGACCUGAGGGUGAAAGCGGGGGACCUUCGGACCUCGCGCUAUUGGAGCGGCCGAUGGCAGAUUAGCUAGUUGGUGGGGUAAAGGCCUACCAAGGCGACGAUCUGUAGCUGGUCUGAGAGGACGACCAGCCACACUGGGACUGAGACACGGCCCAGACUCCUACGGGAGGCAGCAGUGGGGAAUUUUGGACAAUGGGCGAAAGCCUGAUCCAGCAAUGCCGCGUGUGUGAUGAAGGCCUUCGGGUUGUAAAGCACUUUUGGCGGGAACGAAAAGGACUGUGCCAAGACCACGGUUCGAUGACGGUACCCGCAGAAUAAGCACCGGCUAACUACGU
rnacentral:rRNA from 1 species